UACGUAGGGUGCAGGCGUUAAUCGGAAUUACUGGGCGUAAAGCGUGCGCAGGCGGUCUUUUAAGUCAGAUGUGAAAUCCCCGGGCUUAACCUGGGAACUGCGUUUGAAACUGGGAGGCUUGAGUGUGGCAGAGGGGGGUGGAAUUCCACGUGUAGCAGUGAAAUGCGUAGAGAUGUGGAGGAACACCGAUGGCGAAGGCAGCCCCCUGGGCUAACACUGACGCUCAUGCACGAAAGCGUGGGGAGCAAACAGG
rnacentral:rRNA from 1 species